rnacentral:rRNA from 1 species
UACGUAGGGUGCGAGCGUUAAUCGGAAUUACUGGGCGUAAAGCGUUCGCAGGCGGUUCGUUGUGUCGGCGGUGAAAGCCCCGGGCUUAACCUGGGAAUGGCCGUUGAAACUGGCGAACUGGAGUGUGGCAGAGGGGGGUGGAAUUCCGCGUGUAGCAGUGAAAUGCGUAGAGAUGCGGAGGAACACCGAUGGCGAAGGCAGCCCCCUGGGCUAACACUGACGCUCAGGCACGAAAGCGUGGGGAGCAAACAGG